rnacentral:hammerhead_ribozyme from 1 species
GCACUGCUGAGGAGUCCCAAAAUAGGACGAAACGGCCGUCCAGUUC